CCCUUAGAGUUUGAUCCUGGCUCAGGACGAACGCUGGCGGCAUGCCUAAUACAUGCAAGUCGAGCGGAGUUGAUAGGAAGCUUGCUUCCUUGAUACUUAGCGGCGGACGGGUGAGUAACACGUAGGCAACCUGCCCUCAAGUUUGGGACAACUACCGGAAACGGUAGCUAAUACCGAAUAAUUGUUUUCUUCGCCUGAAGGGAACUGGAAAGACGGAGCAAUCUGUCACUUGGGGAUGGGCCUGCGGCGCAUUAGCUAGUUGGUGGGGUAACGGCUCACCAAGGCGACGAUGCGUAGCCGACCUGAGAGGGUGAUCGGCCACACUGGGACUGAGACACGGCCCAGACUCCUACGGGAGGCAGCAGUAGGGAAUCUUCCGCAAUGGGCGAAAGCCUGACGGAGCAAUGCCGCGUGAGUGAUGAAGGUUUUCGGAACGUAAAGCUCUGUUGCCAGGGAAGAACGCUUGGGAGAGUAACUGCUCUCAAGGUGACGGUACCUGAGAAGAAAGCCCCGGCUAACUACGUGCCAGCAGCCGCGGUAAUACGUAGGGGGCAAGCGUUGUCCGGAAUUAUUGGGCGUAAAGCGCGCGCAGGCGGUCAUUUAAGUCUGGUGUUUAAUCCCGGGGCUCAACCCCGGAUCGCACUGGAAACUGGGUGACUUGAGUGCAGAAGAGGAGAGUGGAAUUCCACGUGUAGCGGUGAAAUGCGUAGUAUGUGGAGGAACACCAGUGGCGAAGCGACUCUCUGGGCUGUAACUGACGCUGAGCGCGAAAGCGUGGGGAGCAAACAGAUAGAUACCCUGGUAGUCACGCCGUAAACGAUGAGUGCUAGGUG
rnacentral:rRNA from 1 species